UACAGAGGGUGCGAGCGUUAAUCGGAAUUACUGGGCGUAAAGCGUGCGUAGACGGUUAUUUAAGUCGGGUGUGAAAGCCCCGGGCCCAACCUGGGAAUUGCAUUCGAGACUGAAUAGCUAGGGUACGGUAGAGGGAAGUGGAAUUUCCGGUGUAGCGGUGAAAUGCGUAGAUAUCGGAAGGGACAUCAGUGGCGAAAGCGACUUCCUGGACCAGUACCGACGUUCAGGCACGAAAGCGUGGGGAGCAAACAGG
rnacentral:rRNA from 1 species